rnacentral:rRNA from 1 species
ACGCUCGACACCUACGGGAGACAGCAGUGGGGAAUAUUGCACAAUGGGGGAAACCCUGAUGCAGCAACGCCGCGUGAAGGAAGACGGUUUUCGGAUUGUAAACUUCUGUUCUUAGUGAAGAUAGUGACGGUAGCUAAGGAGCAAGCCACGGCUAACUACGUGCCAGCAGCCGCGGUAAUCUGAGGCGGGCUGGACAAGGC